UGUUACAUCGUCAAUCAUCGUGAUGCAAAUCAAUUUGAGAAAUCACUUCGUGUUGACGUCUUUGGUUUCAGAGCAAGUAUAUUGGACGAAAUGACGAUCACCUCACCCUGAGUCUGAGCGUCUGUUUCCUAUAGAACUGGAACAGGACAUACCUGAGCGAAUCAGAACCAAAACUUAAAUAGGAAAUCAAAGAACCGGUUUUUAGAGACACUAGUAUCUUCUAGGUUGUCAAUGUCAACUAGACUGGACAGGCAGUUCAGUAAGUGCAGUCGGGUCUCACCACAGUUUCUGAAGAAAGAAGAAGAAGAAGAUGUUCAAAGACAAGAGCCCUGGUUUGAAGAUUCUCUGGGUUUGGACUUUUGGAACUGCUGCAGUUUUAGUUACAAGUGUUAUGAAAACGAGAAUACAAGAUAUGGAGAAGUUCAUGUACACUGAAGAACAACAACAGCCGCCUGUUAGUCCAACUGAACCGACGACAUUCGUGGAUGAUGUGCCGAAGCAGGACUCGUCUUAGGUUGGGUUUCUAUGUACUUCACCUGGUUGAAUGAAUUUGUGUGUUCCCUUUUAUUAAUAAACUAGCCUUCAUUCAGUUCAAUUUAGUUUCUUUUGUUUGCAAAUUUUGAAUAUUUAGUUGCAUUUUUAUUUUGGGAGGAUUUGUUAUGUAUUUCUAGUUGCGUGCGCAUUGUUUGUGAUUUGUCUCAAUAUGAUUGUGUAUUGUAUGAAUUGAUAGGAACUGAAACCGAUUUCUUUCUA